AAUGGAUAACUUUUUAUUGAAUGGUAGUUCUUUUAGAUAUAAAACUACCAUAAUAAGUUACUCCAAGAUUAAUUAAUUGUAGGACUCUGUGUAGUUGUUAAUAGUUGAAAACAAUUACGUCGUUCCCCUACAAACAGU